rnacentral:misc_RNA from 1 species
AUGUACACUGCAUCUUUGUAUGCAGCAUUUGCAUCCCUCCUUCACAGUAAACAUACUGAAUUGGCAGGCAAGCGGGUGACACUGUUCUCUUAUGGGAGUGGGUUGACAGCCACAAUGUUCUCAUUGCGACUACAUGAAGGCCAACAUCCCUUUAGCUUGUCAAACAUUGCAUCUGUGAUGAAUGUUGCAGGAAAGUUGAAGGCAAGACAUGAGCUUCCCCCAGAGAAGUUUGUAGACAUCAUGAAGCUAAUGGAGCACCGGUACGGAGCUAAAGACUUUGUGACAAGCAAGGAUUG